rnacentral:rRNA from 1 species
AGACUUUGAUCCUGGCUCAGAUUGAACGCUGGCGGCAGGCCUAACACAUGCAAGUCGAGCGGUAGCACAGAGAAGCUUGCUUCUUGGGUGACGAGCGGCGGACGGGUGAGUAACGCGUGGGAAUCUACCUGGUAGUGGGGGACAACAGUCGGAAACGACUGCUAAUACCGCAUACGCCCUUCGGGGGAAAGUGGGGGAUCUUCGGACCUCACGCUAUCAGAUGAGCCCGCGUCGGAUUAGCUUGUUGGUGAGGUAACGGCUCACCAAGCCUUCGAUCGGUAGCUGGUCUGAGAGGAUGAUCAGCCACACUGGGACUGAGACACGGCCCAGACUCCUACGGGAGGCAGCAGUGGGGAAUAUUGGACAAUGGGGGAAACCCUGAUCCAGCCAUGCCGCGUGAGUGAAGAAGGCCUUAGGGUUGUAAAGCUCUUUCGGUGGUGACGAUGAUGACGGUAGCCACAGAAGAAGCCCCGGCUAACUCCGUGCCAGCAGCCGCGGUAAUACCGGAGGGGGCAAGCGUUUGUUCGGAAUUACUGGGCCGUAAAGGGCCCC